UGAACGCUGGCGGCGUGCCUAACACAUGCAAGUCGAGCGUGAACCCUUAGAAUGAAACUUCAGUCGAAUGAAGAGGGGAAAGCGGCGGACGGGUGAGUAACGCGUAGGCAACCUGCCCCGUACAGAGGGAUAGCCUCGGGAAACCGGGAUUAAAACCUCAUAAUACCAUGGUAUCACAUGAUGCAAUGGUCAAAGAUUUAUCGGUAUGGGAUGGGCCUGCGUCUGAUUAGCUGGUUGGUGGGGUAACGGCCUACCAAGGCAACGAUCAGUAGCCGACCUGAGAGGGUAAUCGGCCACAUUGGAACUGAGACACGGUCCAAACUCCUACGGGAGGCAGCAGUGGGGAAUAUUGCACAAUGGGCGAAAGCCUGAAUGCAGCAACGCCGCGUGAGCGAAGAAGGCCUUUGGGUCGUAAAGCUCUGUCGGGAAGGAAGAUAAUGACGGUACUUCCCGAGGAAGCCCCGGCUAACUACGUGCCAGCCGCAGC
rnacentral:rRNA from 1 species